rnacentral:misc_RNA from 1 species
GAAGCUCCGAACACCUUGGGGAUAAAACGGAAGUUUCAUUCAACUCCGCGCAUUCAACGAAUUCGAAUUUCCUGUUUAUAUAUCGCACGUACCGAACCGACGGUUUGCAUCGCUGUACCGAAAAAAAAACCCGAUCAACAUUCGACCGAACCGAUUUCACAAGCCGACGAGAGUAUUAUUAAUUUCUCGCCCAAUUAUACAACACCAAAAAUAUCAGAGUUUCACUUUUUUUUCCCUUGAUAUUCCACAUGCGAACGUGUAUCGUACACACAGUGGCAUGUUCGGUGGUAAUUAAUUAACGCGCAAAUUAUAAAAUUAUUGGUGUAAUAUCACCGCGUAAAAUUUGCUGGUCACCUGACGAAAUCGGAUGUAUACAGUAGACGAGCGCUCGGCUUGCGGUAUAUAAAUACGUGCCAAUCUGAAUAGGGAGUUGAAUUACCUCUCGUAAUUUUGUUCCAUUAUAG